ACCUUGAAAUACCACCCUUUAAUGGCUGGUGUUCUAACGUAGACCCGUAAUCCGGGUUGCGGACAGUGUCUGGUGGGUAGUUUGACUGGGGCGGUCUCCUCCCAAAGAGUAACGGAGGAGCACGAAGGUUGGCUAAUCCUGGUCGGACAUCAGGAGGUUAGUGCAAUGGCAUAAGCCAGCUUGACUGCGAGCGUGACGGCGCGAGCAGGUGCGAAAGCAGGUCAUAGUGAUCCGGUGGUUCUGAAUGGAAGGGCCAUCGCUCAACGGAUAAAAGGUACUCCGGGGAUAACAGGCUGAUACCGCCCAAGAGUUCAUAUCGACGGCGGUGUUUGGCACCUCGAUGUCGGCUCAUCACAUCCUGGGGCUGAAGUAGGUCCCAAGGGUAUGGCUGUUCGCCAUUUAAAGUGGUACGCGAGCUGGGUUUAGAACGUCGUGAGACAGUUCGGUCCCUAUCUGCCGUGGGCGCUGGAGAAUUGAGGGGGGCUGCUCCUAGUACGAGAGGACCGGAGUGGACGCAUCACUGGUGUUCGGGUUGUCAUGCCAAUGGCACUGCCCGGUAGCUAAAUGCGGAAGAGAUAAGUGCUGAAAGCAUCUAAGCACGAAACUUGCCCCGAGAUGAGUUCUCCCUGAGACUUUA
rnacentral:rRNA from 1 species